rnacentral:rRNA from 1 species
CCUACGGGAUGCAGCAGUGAGGAAUAUUGGUCAAUGGCCGUAAGCCUGAACCAGCCAAGUCGCGUGAAUGAAGAAGGCCCUAUGGUUUGUACACUUCUUUUAUCGGGGCAUAAAAGUCUCCACGUGUGGAUUUUUGAAUGUACCCGAUGAAUGAGCAUCGGCUAACUCCGUUCCAGCAGCCGCGGUAAUACGGAGGAUGCGAGCGUUAUCCGGAUUUAUUUGGUUUACAGGGUGCGUAGGUUGUUUUUUAAGUCAGCCGUGAAAGGUUGUGGCUCAACCAUAAAAUUGCCGUUGAAACUGGAAGACUGGAGUGUGUUUGAGGUAGGCGGAAUGCGUGGUGUAGCGGUGAAAUGCAUAGAUAUCACGCAGAACUCCGAUUGCGAAGGCAGCUUACUAAGCCAUAACUGACACUGCGGCACGAAAGCGUGGGGAUCAAACAGGAUUAGAUACCCGAGUAGUC